UGGGGAGGAGGGAGAGAGAGAGAGAGAGAGAAACAUCUAUAUGAGAGAGACAUAUCAAUUGGUUGCCUCCCACAUGAGCUCCCAUGAGGGCCAGGGGUUGAGCCUCCAGCCAAGGUAGAU